rnacentral:rRNA from 1 species
AUGCAGUCGAGCGAAUGGAUUGAGAGCUUGCUCUCAUGAAGUUAGCGGCGGACGGGUGAGUAACACGUGGGUAACCUGCCCAUAAGACUGGGAUAACUCCGGGAAACCGGGGCUAAUACCGGAUAACAUUUUGAACUGCAUGGUUCGAAAUUGAAAGGCGGCUUCGGCUGUCACUUAUGGAUGGACCCGCGUCGCAUUAGCUAGUUGGUGAGGUAACGGCUCACCAAGGCAACGAUGCGUAGCCGACCUGAGAGGGUGAUCGGCCACACUGGGACUGAGACACGGCCCAGACUCCUACGGGAGGCAGCAGUAGGGAAUCUUCCGCAAUGGACGAAAGUCUGACGGAGCAACGCCGCGUGAGUGAUGAAGGCUUUCGGGUCGUAAAACUCUGUUGUUAGGGAAGAACAAGUGCUAGUUGAAUAAGCUGGCACCUUGACGGUACCUAACCAGAAAGCCACGGCUAACUACGUGCCAGCAGCCGCGGUAAUACGUAGGUGGCAAGCGUUAUCCGGAAUUAUUGGGCGUAAAGCGCGCGCAGGUGGUUUCUUAAGUCUGAUGUGAAAGCCCACGGCUCAACCGUGGAGGGUCAUUGGAAACUGGGAGACUUGAGUGCAGAAGAGGAAAGUGGAAUUCCAUGUGUAGCGGUGAAAUGCGUAGAGAUAUGGAGGAACACCAGUGGCG